rnacentral:rRNA from 1 species
GUCUAUGGCCAUGCUACCCUGAACGUGCCAGAUCUUGGAAGCUAAGCAGGGUCAGGCCUGGUUAGUAUUUGGAUGGGAGACCACCUAGGAAGAUCAGGUGCUGUGGGGG